UCUCAUCAACAAAGGCGCCAAUAUGGAUGUCAUGUCUAAAUACAAUCAUACGCCUCUUCAUUAUGCUGCUAUGAAUGGUCACGAAAAUGUUGCUGAAGUUCUCAUAAAAAAAGGAGCCAAAGUUGAUAUCAGAAAUACUUUGAAUCUAACACCUCGUCAGUUAGCUGUUAACCAUGGUCACAAUAAUGUCGCCAACCUAUUUAUCCAGGGGGAUUGAAAAUUUUAACACUAGCGCUGCAGUUUGCUUGUCAGUUGGUCAGCUGCACAAUUAACAAUCAUGCUGGUGGAGCGGCCACACAAAAACUGGAUCGGUCAUAUAUUUCAUGAUUUCAUUUUUUUUUACUUUUUCUAAAUAAAUAUGAUUAUAACAUUAAAAGUAUUUUGAUUCAAGUGUCACUAUUAUUUUCAUCACCUUUG